CGCGACACCGCCGGCGGGGUGGGCCGCAGCAAGGGUGCAGGGCGCAGGGCAGGCCUGCGGCGGGCACCGCUGGAUCUCGAGUACGUGGCCAAGGUCUAGUGUGCCCCUGAAAUACUGAUGGCUUCGAGGUGAGGCAGGUGAGCGGCCCUCUGAGGGAGAUAGUGCCACGUCUCCCACUUCAGGAGCCCGUCUUUUUUGUCAUCACUUUAGACUUACCAAUGUUUGCCUUACUUCCACACCCUUGGGAACUUGCUAGGCAUUAAAGACAGGCCGAGCCUAGAUAUGACAUGUUUGUUUCACUGUAGCAAAUGUAAAUGGGAGAAGAUUCCUUCGUGCUAGGUACAAACAGUGUGGAGGAAGAAGGUGGCUUUGGAAGUUGAGACAAGGGAGCUGUGACAGGUAAGAAGCAGCUGUGUGAGAGGACAAGGAACCAGGGAAGGAAGAUCAGGAUGGGUGUGCCGCUUGUAAGUGGUAUAGCAGCGUUAGGACUCUGGAGGAAUGACACUGGGACUAAAUCUUGCCCAGCUGGUUAGUGGCAGCCUGGUAGCCAGUGAGGUGAGGGAGAAACAGUUUGGGUUUAUGCAAGUCAAAACAAGAUGAGCCAGAACAGGGGUAGAGUGAUGCCCAGAAAAUAGACGUCAGGAGGAAAGGAGAGUGGAUUAAAGUCUUGCUUGACAGGGAGAUAGUUUGGCCGCAUGGUAAGAUUGGAAGGAAAUAGUGUAUGUAGGUUUUUGGAGGCAAUCUGGAUUUGGAUAGAGAACUAGGCAAAACUUGGAAUUAAAUUGAUAGUUGAGGAGCGUAUGAAAAUAUACAUUGGGUGUAGGAAAGAGCAUGUAAUGGAUUAGAAGACUUCAGGCUUUCCAGAGCUGUACGUUCCUGAGUGUUAGUGACUCUUUGUUGUCUCAACUGUUCUAUGUCCCGACUCAGCUACCACCGACUGGAAGGUGACUUCAGUUAUGAAAUGCUUCCGAUACUGCUGUGAAGGGUCUGAUGGUAGACGUCCAACCUACUGUUGUUCCUUAUCAAGUGACUCAGAGCACGGAAAUAUGAUUUCAGCAAGGGAAAAGAUGCAGCAGCAUUUGGCCCACGGGAAUAGACUGGAACUGCUCGGAAGCAAGAAGGGACUCGUGUACAUAUGACAAGGGAUUCUGACCUGUGGAGGAGAAACUUGCACUGAAGAAUGAGAUCAGGUGCUCAGGGGCUGAAAGUUAUGUCUGUUCUCUGUCAAAAUCCAUCGUCCUGCAAGGUGCCAGAGAAAGAGUUCAAUACAGGUGGAAGCAUGAAGAAAGAAUCGAGUUGUCACUGAACAUAUUACCACUGCUAUCUUCUGGAGCAGAAAACAUGACUUCGAAAAUGAGAACUCCAAGAAGGCAGACUGGCAGAUGCCAAGAAGAAAAGUUGAAUCAGAGUGGUGAAAUUGGCAUGAUUUAUGGCUUAUGAUUAUUGAAUUACUAUAAAAAACUGUUGAGUUUUAGUUGUAAUAAUAAUAAUAAUAAUAAUAAUUGUAACAACUAAGAUAAUAAUCAUAACAACUACAGAACAAGAUUUCCAAAAAUAAAUAAAGCUGGGACGAUGUCAAACAAAAAUACUAUUUUAGGUUACAAUAAUUAAAAUAGCCAUCCCAGAUUUUAAAGCAGAAAGAAUGGAUUCUGAGGGCAGUGAAAGCAGCUACAAAAAACACAGAAUUAAAGUAUUAAGUGUUCAAUAAGUAAUCCAGAAGAGGCCUCUUGUGUUUUAAGAUUACUUUAUUCUUUUAAGACUGUAUGCUUUCUAUUGGUUAUUGAACAAACUAAGGGAGAACGCAAAAAUCAACGUAUUAGUAAGCAUGGAGGUCAAACUGAGCUGAGGAGGAAUACUUGGUGGUGUAAUAAAUAGUAUGUAGAACUGAAGAUAAACAUUAAAUUUUCAGUUGAGAGACCUAGUAAUCAGUCCAAUCAAUGGCACCAUACAGUAAAUAUGUGAUCUGCUGCUUUAGUGGCUUGAACUGUUUUUAGCUUAUGCUAUCCUUGGAGAAAUUUCUGACUUUUUUCUUGCAUGCUCUAAAGUAAAAUUGCCCUUUCAUAACAACUGAAAUGGAACCAUUUAUCUAGCAAUUCCAACAAAAUAAAAGGUACACAGAUAUUAAGAUGCCUAUCUUAAGCUUCACAAACAUACAAGACUUGAAAUGUCACCCUUUUUGGCAUGAUGCAAGACCUUCCUUUCUAGUUAGAUAGCAAAACUCACCACAGUUGUAACUCUCAUGCUUUUCCAGUUCUUAAUCAAAUAGCUUACCUCCUCCAAAUACCCUACAUAAAUGUUACUUGGCAGUGGUAGAGGUAGUCAGGUUUGCCUGAAAAACUACCUGAUCAUGCACUUAGAUAAUCAAAAACCUGUUUGAGCAGUGUAGAUCCAGUUUGCAGUGGUUAGAGGGAGUACAUGGGCACAAAAAUGUUAGCAGAUAUGCCAGAGCAGUCUCUGUCAGAUCUGUUGCACUUUAAGUUCAAUGAAAACUAAAAGAAUUUGGCAGCACCCUUUAAUAUCCCUAAACAGUAACUCAGAAUCCGGGGGGAACAGAAAGCAAAUGUCAUGUAAGCUCUGUGAGGCUCUGGCCUGUUCUUUGGCCGCUGCUGAAGACAGACUACUGGGUUAGAAGGACCACUCAGCCUGACCACUGAGUACUUGCACUCUUCACUCCUGCCUGCCAGCAGAAGAUAAGAAUCAAGCCCUUGGACUAUUGCUUCCCUGUGUGACAAGACGGUACCUGUAUUGCAGUGAUGUUCAACCAGCUGAGAAAGUCAAUUUAAUAAGUCAUUAUUUAUGAAACUUCUAUAAGCCUUGGGAUUAGUAGGAAACAAACAGAUUCAAACACAUUUGUUCAGUUUGAACUUUUGCUCCUAUGCCCAAAGCUUAGAAGGGCUGCUGAAGCAGUACUUAAAUCGCCUACUCUUUUUGACUGGUGGAACAUAAAAAAUCAGGGGGAAUUACUUUAAUCUUGUCACUAAUUCUUUUCUUGCAGACACAACAAAAUAUAGGCUUAUUAAGAAAGACAGGGAACGUACAGCAUUUGAUAGCAUUAUUUACAAAGAGCAGCUCAUGUCUACAAAGUUGAGAUUUUUCUCAUAAAAAUAUCUGCAGAUUUGCCUAAUCUAAUUUAUUCAUUAAGCAUAUUGAGUAAAGGCAUGGGCCAUUAUAGACAUCUCAGGCAUUCCAGUUUAGUAAGGAUGCAACUCACUGCAGAAGUCAUCUUUCCACCCACCUUCUCUGUGGUGUUUUUAAAUAUAUAGAAGAGUUCAUAAUUAUCUUUACCCUUUAUGACUUAAAAAUCAAUUAACACUUUUAAAAUGUUCAAUACAGGCAUAGUUUUGUUGUAUUACCUUAUUGCUUAGAAGAUCUGUGGAACUAACUCCAAAAGUACAGGCAAUAUAAAUCAGUCUUUAAAUUAUAUAUUACAUGUUUAUUAUGGGUGCAAAUUUUUUAAAGUUUACAUUUUAUGAAAAUUCUGAAGUAUUUACAAUUUUUUUAAGAUAAACUUGUAUGCUCUAAUUUACAGUCUGAUGUAGUAACAAUUCAUAAAAAUUCAGAUCCUUUAGAGUUGUGUUUACAAAUUAAUUUUCUUAGGAGGCAGCUACAAGGGAUAUUGCUGUAUACACAGGCAAGAACCAGCUUGCUACAUACUUUUUUUUAAUAUCAGAUAGCUACAUGUACUUUUUACAUUGUUCUUGAGUUUCUUUACAAAAAUGCGAUAUAAACUUGUAUGGCUUCAAAAUUGUAACCUGCACCCAACACAAAUUAUGUGAAAACACCUGAAUGAAGACUAGUUUAAAAGUGCUGAAACAUUAACUACUUCAUUUAGCUUAGGAAUUAAAGUAAUACUUGAUUAGAAAUAGAAAUAACAGUUUGGGUUUUCAUUUAUAAAAUAUUGUCACAUUAAUCAGUUUGAUUACAAAGCAGAUUACAAUUUAAAUUCCAGUAAAAAGACUGUACCAUUUUAGGAGUUAUAUAUUGACCAUCAAUAAGAUUAGCAAAUUAGGAGCCAAAUAUACUCUUCCAGUCAAAUCUACAGCCUGCAAAAAUGUGUAGUGUACAUUAGAAUUUGUGUAGCCUCUACAAAGGCAUAAUUUCUUGUAAAGCUUCAGCAGUUCAUGUCACUACUGGCUUUGGAUUAACUCGAGCAUGUUUUACUGUUUUAAUACAGAAUUUGAAAUAGACACUAGUACUCUGAAUAUUCAUUUGAAUUUCCCAUAUGAAGGUUAUUGAAUUAUAUGGCCCCAAUACUUUUGAUUUCAGCACUAGAAAAAAACCCUUGAUAAUAUAAAUACAUAGAAGAUUUUCUAAAUUACUGACUUGCUUUAAAAAAUAUUAAUGAUGUCACUUCCCUCUGCCUAGGCUUGUGGCAAGCAGAUUACAUGACAAUAGAAAUAUUAACAUUGGUAGUUAUAGAAAAAAUGAAUGGACAAGUCAGUAUUUGUCAUAAUGCUGCCAUAAAAUACUCCUCCCAAAGUACUAUGAGUACAUUCACAUCACAGAUCCCCAAAAGCACUCAAAGUCUAAAGACUUACAGUCAAAGUGAAAAGUAAUGCUGUUUGCUUUUAGAGUUUGCUUUUACUUUCUUCAGUAAUUUUUCAGGAUUCUCAUCUUUGGUGACAAUAAAGUUACUUAAUGAAG